rnacentral:rRNA from 1 species
GAUGAACGCUAGCGGCAGGCUUAACACAUGCAAGUCGAGGGGUAGAGGCUUUCGGGCCUUGAGACCGGCGCACGGGUGCGUAACGCGUAUGCAACCUGCCUUUCACAGAGGGAUAGCCCAGAGAAAUUUGGAUUAAUACCUCAUAGCAUUGGAGAAGGGCAUCCUUUUCCAAUUAAAGUCACAACGGUGAAAGAUGAGCAUGCGUCCCAUUAGCCAGUUGGUAAGGUAACGGCUUACCAAGGCUACGAUGGGUAGGGGUCCUGAGAGGGAGAUCCCCCACACUGGUACUGCGACACGGACCAGACUCCUACGGGAGGCAGCAGUGAGGAAUAUUGGUCAAUGGGCGCAAGCCUGAACCAGCCAUGCCGCGUGCAGGAUGACGGUCCUAUGGAUUGUAAACUGCUUUUGUACGGGAAGAAACACUGAUUCGUGAAUCAGCUUGACGGUACCGUAAGAAUAAGGAUCGGCUAACUCCGUGCCAGCCGCCGCCGUAA